AUACGUAGGGUGCAAGCGUUAAUCGGAAUUACUGGGCGUAAAGCGUGCGCAGGCGGUUUUGUAAGACAGAGGUGAAAUACCCGGGCGCAACCUGGGAACUGCCUUUGGGGCUACAAGGCUAGAGUACGGCAGAAGGGGGUGGAAUUCCACGUUUAGCAGUGGAAUGCGUAGAUAUGCGGAGGAACACCGAUGGCGAAGGCAAUUCCAAAGGAAUGUACUGACGCGCAUGCAGGAAAGCGUGGGAAACAAACAGGAUUAGAUACCCUGGUAGUCCACGCAGUAAACGAUGUCCACUGGUGGUUGGCUCUUCAUUGACUCAGUAACGAAGCUAUCGCGUGAAGUUGACCGCCUGGGGAGUACGGCCUCAACGUUGAAACUCAAAUGAAUUGGCGGGG
rnacentral:rRNA from 1 species